GUACCCACUUUGGCAGCACAUAUAUUAAAAUUGGAAAGAUACAGAGAAGAUCCGCAUGGUCUCUGCAAUAAGGAUGACAUGCAAAUUCACGAAGCAUUCCAUAUUUUU